rnacentral:hammerhead_ribozyme from 1 species
GUGCAACUGACGAGUCCCAACUAGGACGAAACCUAUGUCCUAGAC